GGGUCGAUGGCGUAGUUGGUCAUCGCAUCUGUCUAACAUCGACUUGUAAAGCGACCUGUUCCACACAGAAGGUCCUCAGUUCAAACCUGGGUCGACUCA